GAUGAAGAACGCAGCGAAAUGCGAUAAGUAAUGUGAAUUGCAGAAUUCAGUGAAUCAUCGAAUCUUUGAACGCACAUUGCGCCCUCUGGUAUUCCGGGGGGCAUGCCUGUUCGAGCGUCAUUAUAACCACUCAAGCUCUCGCUUGGUAUUGGGGUUCGCGGUUCCGCGGCCCCUAAAAUCAGUGGCGGUGCCUGUCGGCUCUACGCGUAGUAAUACUCCUCGCGAUUGAGUCCGGUAGGUCUACUUGCCAGCAACCCCCAAUUUUUACAGGUUGACCUCGGAUCAGGUAGGGAUACCCGCUGAACUUAAGCAUAUCAAUAACGGAGGA
rnacentral:misc_RNA from 1 species